AGAGAGGUCCACGCACCUCCACACUUACAAGAACUUUGACCUUGCCUCUGCAGUGCCCCUGUAAUUCAUAAAAUCCGUGAUCAUGGCAAAACAAGGACUGGUUGAACGUUUAAAAAAUGGCGAAAAAAUCCUAAUAGCGGAAGGAUAUAUGUGGGAGUUGGAAAGAAGAGGCUAUCUUACUGCUGGAGGUUUUAUUCCAGAAGUAGUUAUAACAAUCCUGAAAUAGUGCGUGCUCUUCACGAAGAAUUCGUCCAUGCUGGUACCGACGUCAUAGAAGCAUUUACGUACUAUGGGCAUCGUGAAAAACUGCGCCUGAUUGGCCGAGAAGAUGACCUAGAAAAGUUAAACAGAGAUGCCUUGCAAAUAGCAAAGGAAAUAGCUACAAAGCAUGGUAAACUACUCGCUGGAGGGAUCUGUAACACGGGGGUUUA